UCGUCGAAGGCGGCGCGUAGUCGCGCGUCCUGUCGCGCGCGACGACCUUCGAGAGGGUUGAAGAUUCCUCCUCGUCCUCCUUCUCUUUCUCGCGGUCCGUUUCGCGGUCCACCGAAAUCCGAGAUCGAGACCAGAGACGUGCGUGCGUGCGUGCGUGCGUACAUGCGUGCGUAUGCACGCGGCUGCUGCGCGCUCACGCAUGCACGCGGGAGCGUGUGUGUGUGUGUGUGUGCGGGUGGGCGCGUAUGUACGCGUCGCGCGCGCGCGCGCGUACGCGCUGGAGUGUGUGCCUGCGUGCAUACGCGCGAGCGCGCGGGUGUGCGCGCUAAGCGAAGGCCAUGUCCGACAGGCUACUACUCUGUGACGGAUGACUUUUGAAAAGGAUAUUUAUCUUAAAAUCCUUUUUCCUUCCCACCGUAUUUUGUCGUCCGCUUGUACGUAAGGAAAUGCGCCGCGGGGAACAAACGAAGACGGCGAAACAAAUGGAAGGCAAAUGUAUAUGGCACAGGUCGCGAAAAACAUUAGGAACAUGUUCGCGAUUCCCUUGUGAGGUAAAUUUCUUGUGAAACGAAACAGCAAAACCACACUGGUACAGAGAAAGCCCACGUACAGCACGCGACUCGUUAAAUGCCGAUCGUUUCUAGCGCACGAUAAGAUUGCAAAUCAAGGAUCGGAAGAUGAAUGCUGGACAUUGUAUAGGAGUUGACAAAUGAGAUGAUGGACAACUCCUAUCAAAAUCAUGAGGCACCUAAAGGUGCCCAAGCAAGGCAGAAUGGACAAUACGAGAUUCCAGAAGAGAAAACUGUAACCAAGACUGGCUUAGAUAUAUUAUAUACGUCUCGGGUAGAUCGUGGUAUAAAUGAUGAAGAUGUGGGAAAAAAGACCUCGUCACUGAAACAUUUACUAGAGAAAGAUCCGAGAGCUGCUGAUUUAAAGUGGUCCCUUUUUGUAGCAGCAUCCAACACCUACCGUUAUGACAGCUGUUUAAAACCAUUUCCACCUAUGUACAUUAAGAACGAGUGCAAGGAUAUUGAAGCUUUGAGGAGAGCCAUAGAAUCAGUCCCUCCUUUGCUUGUGAUAUGUAAAGAACUUGGCGAGGCUGAUGCAUACCAGAAUUAUGGCGAAACAAUAGAGUUGUUAUAUUGGGUCUUGCUACGAUUGAGAGACCCAUAUAUCGAGAGCGUGCAGAAAGAAUGUUACAAUUCUAUACUGAGAAAAGUGCCAUUGGAAGUGCCAGUUGCAGCUCCAAAUCUCAUAUUUCAAAUAACAAGUGCGAAACAGUCUGUGGCAGAAGAGAAAUGGAAAUCUAGUGCUAAAGGUCAUUCCACAUUUUAUGCAUACCAUGGCAGUCGUUUAGAAAACUUCCAUUCUAUCGUGCAUUAUGGUUUACAACAAAACAUGUGCAAAAGAUCAGAGUUUGGCAAAGGAAUAUAUUUUUCGAGCGAGUUAGGAGUGAGCCUACCGUACAGUCCUGUGGGUUAUGGUUGGGGAGGUAGUCUUCUCGGAAGCGAGAUAAGUUGUAUAGCUCUCUGUGAGCUUAUCAAUCAUCCUGACAUAAAAAGAGGAGAUUCGAGGGAUAACGCACAAAAUACGCUGAGUGAUUCAGUUGGUGGAAGAAUACCGGACAAGUACUUCGUAGUGACAAAUAGCGAUUUAGUAAGGAUACGUUAUUUACUUGUUUAUACUCAAGAUCUUCAUACAACUAGUACAACUGACAGUACGGGAUUACUGUCAUGGUUCAAACAACAUAAAUUACUGACGUUUGUGCUCGGUUACGUCGUGCUGUUAGCCUCGGUUGGACUAACGCAGAACAACAUCUAUGUGAUACGCCUGUGGAGCUCGAAAAUAUACACUCGUAUAAAAAUUCCAACAUACGAACAAUUAUUAUUUUUGUCAAAUUGAUUCGAAAACAAAGGCCGAAUUUGGAGAGAUCUAAAGGAAUACGAGAAUUUAUCGAGGUGCAGGGAUAAAUGUAAAAAGUCGUUUUUCCGUGAACUGCCGGCCCCGCGCUAUUCGGGCCACGAGACGGUCUUGCCAGGGGUACGGCCAAUAGGAAGCCUCGUGGCCUCUGUCACAUAACGGUGGGACUCCGGUGCGCAGCCGCGGCCGUGACUGCACCGGC